rnacentral:rRNA from 1 species
UACGGGAGGCAGCAGGGGGAAUAUUGCACAAUGGGCGCAAGCCUGAUGCAGCCAUGCCGCGUGUAUGAAGAAGGCCUUCGGGUUGUAAAGUACUUUCAGUCGUGAGGAAGGUGUUAAGGUUAAUAACCUUAGCAAUUGACGUUAGCGACAGAAGAAGCACCGGCUAACUCCGUGCCAGCAGCCGCGGUAAUACGGAGGGUGCGAGCGUUAAUCGGAAUUACUGGGCGUAAAGGGCACGCAGGCGGUUAAUUAAGUUGGAUGUGAAAUCCCCGGGCUUAACCUGGGAAUGGCAUUCAAGACUGGUUAGCUAGAGUCUUGUAGAGGGGGUUAGAAUUCCAUGUGUAGCGGUGAAAUGCGUAGAGAUGUGGAGGAAUACCGGUGGCGAAGGCGGCCCCUGGACAAAGACUGACGCUCAUGUGCGAAAGCGUGGGGAGCAAACGAGGGAUUAGAU